UGUGUGUGUGUGCCUGUGUGUGUGUGCCUGUGUGUGUGUGUGCCUGUGUGUGUGUGUGCCUGUGUGUGUGUGUGCCUGUGUGUGUGUGUGCCUGUGUGUGCUGUGAAUGCACUGUAGCUCUCCGCCAGUUUCUGGAGCUUCUCACCCAAAACUGUGUUUGUGGAACCAGAGAGAAGAUUAGACCGACUGCACUUCGUUCCUCUGCUGUGUGUGUGUGUGUGUGUGUGUGUGUGUGUGUGUGUGUGUGUGUGUGUGUGUGUGUGUGUGUGUGUGUGUGUUUCUCUCAUAAAAGUGUGUCCCCCCUCCUUCUUCUUUUCCCUGUGUGUUUUGUAGGCAUGUAUCUACACUAACCCCAGUCUCUUAUCAAGGACCUGAAGGCAGCAGUAAUUAGAUUAGCUGUGGCUCCAGGGAAACAUGCUGUGUGUGUGUGUGUGUGUGUUUUCAGGAAGAUUUAAAUGAAAAAGCAGUCUAAAUGAGGUCAAAACUCCCUGACAGAGUGAUGACAUUGACUAUGGUUUCUUUCACAGCUAAAAUACAGAAUUUUACUGUGUGUGUGGUGUGUGUGUGUGUGGUGUGUGUGGGGUGGGGGGUUGUUCGGCGGUGGCGCCAUGCUGAUCCUCUUCACAGUAAUAGUUCACGUAUCCUCUCCUGCCUCUGUUUGGAUGCUUUAUUCACCUCAGCCAUAUGAUACUAACACGGACAGCUUGUGUGACGGCUGUUUCGACGCUAAUCAGCAGCACAAACACAGAAAUUGGCCACACACAAGCGUUCACACACAAGGGUGUAAAAUGAAUGGCCCCCUUGGCAGUGGGACCGGGCCUCGGCUGUGUAAACGCUAAGCAGUGCUGCAGCCCCUCAGGGAACCGACACGACAGCACAUUGUGCUCAGAUCUAAUCUGACUGUGUGUGUAGAGGCUUUGUGCUGAGCGCUGGGGUUUGUGUUCACCUCGUGGUUCAUCUGGAGCAGACCUUCAUCACUGCUGCAUUAGAGAAAUUAGCAGAGCAGCAUCCUGGCAUUGUGACUCUGUCAUAGUGAGAGGAGAGAUGGAGCACGGUGGGAAAAGUGGAAGCUCUCCGGCUGGUCGGGGUGAUGUCACUCAGCACAGCAGGAUCAGGAUCAUCGACAUUACUGAUGAGGAAGAGGAGGGGGGGAGAGAGUGAGGAAGAACAGAGGGAGAAGAGAAGGACAGAGAGAAGGAAUUCAAUUAGCAGGAACAUGAUGGAGAAGAACAGAGUGAUGAUGGAGAAGAAAAGGAGAGAAGAAAGCUUUUGUAGCUUUGUUGUUCAUCGGUCACAGCAGUGCUGAUAGUGUCUACAGCUCACAAUCACUCGUGCACUGCUUCUCUACUUUUAGGCUUUAAUUCAAAUAUUUAGCAAUUUUCACAUUUUGCUUAAAUUUUAAAUAAAUAUUUCAAUUUUUUAAUUUUUAUUUAUUUUCUGAAUCAUGUGUAAAAUGUUUAUCUAAAUAAAGCUGAUCAUUAUUAAUAUUAUAAUGCACAAUGGCAAUGGGUAAUUCCACCA